rnacentral:rRNA from 2 species
CGCUGGCGGCGUGCUUAACACAUGCAAGUCGAACGAUGAACCGCUUUCGGGCGGGGAUUAGUGGCGAACGGGUGAGUAACACGUGGGCAAUCUGCCCUGCACUCUGGGACAAGCCCUGGAAACGGGGUCUAAUACCGGAUAUGACUGUCCAUCGCAUGGUGGAUGGUGUAAAGCUCCGGCGGUGCAGGAUGAGCCCGCGGCCUAUCAGCUUGUUGGUGAGGUAGUGGCUCACCAAGGCGACGACGGGUAGCCGGCCUGAGAGGGCGACCGGCCACACUGGGACUGAGACACGGCCCAGACUCCUACGGGAGGCAGCAGUGGGGAAUAUUGCACAAUGGGCGAAAGCCUGAUGCAGCGACGCCGCGUGAGGGAUGACGGCCUUCGGGUUGUAAACCUCUUUCAGCAGGGAAGAAGCGAAAGGGACGGUACCUGCAGAAGAAGCGCCGGCUAACUACGUGCCAGCAGCCA